UGCAGGACUAGGUGAAUGUCCAUGUG
rnacentral:piRNA from 1 species